rnacentral:rRNA from 1 species
AUGCCCGCCUGCUGCGCCGCGGCUGCGUCCCCGGCUUUCUCAGGAUCUGCCGCAAGGCGCCGUUCCCUGGGCUCGCCGGCCGACGCCGUCGACGGCAGGUAUGUGGGAGCACUCCGCCUUCCUCAGGCCGCGCCGCCCGACGCCCUCCACCUCGAUGGAAGCUGCCCGCUUCCUCCAGCCUCUCGCAGAUGGAGAUCUGCCGGCCCCGCGCCGCCACCGCCCAGGAAGGAGCUAUUCCUCCGCCUCUCCGGCGCGUGGGAGUCCGCCGUGCAGGCGCUUCUCGAGCUCGGGAGAGGCACCGAUCAGAGAAGGAAGGCAAAAGGGAGAUCAUCUACAUUAAUCUCCUGUCAAGUAUUGGAAAUCCCAAGUAUUUCAUGA